GACGAACGCUGGCGGCGUGCUUAACACAUGCAAGUCGAACGAAGUGGCGAACGGGUGAGUAACGCGUAAUCACCCUGCCCUUCAGAGGGGGACAACAGUUGGACACGACUGCUAAUACCGCAUACUGAAGGUGGGGUUUGCGUCGGCUUAGCUAGUGGGAGGGGGAACGGCCCAUCAAGGCGCUGACCAGUAGCCGGUCUGAGAGGAUGAACGGCCACAUUGGGACUGAGACACGGCCCAGACUGCUACGGGAGGCAGCAGUGGGGAAUCUUCCGGAAUGGACGAAAGUCUGACGGAGCAACGCCGCGUGAGUGAUGACGGCCUUCGGGUUGUAAAGCUCUGUUAAUCGGGACGCGGUACCGGAAUAGAAAGCCACGGCUAACUACGUGCCAGCAGCCGCGGUAAUUC
rnacentral:rRNA from 1 species